AGUGAACGCUGGCGGUAGGCCUAACACAUGCAAGUCGAACGGCAGCACAGUAAGAGCUUGCUCUUACGGGUGGCGAGUGGCGGACGGGUGAGGAAUACAUCGGACUCUACUUUUUCGUGGGGGAUAACGUAGGGAAACUUACGCUAAUACCGCAUACGACCUACGGGUGCAAGCAGGGGAUCUUCGGACCUUGCGCGAUUGAAUGAGCCGAUGUCGGAUUAGCUAGUUUGCGUGGUAAAGGCCCACCAAUGCGACGAUCCGUAGCUGGUCUGAGAGGAUGAUCAACCACACUUGAACUGUGACACGGUCCAGACUCCUACGGGAGGCAGCAGUGGGGAAUAUUGGACAAUGGGCGCAAGCCUGAUCCAGACAUACCGCGUGGGUGAAGAAGGCCUUCGGGUUGUAAAGCCCUUUUGUUGGGAAAGAAAAGCAGCAGGUUAAGACCAAGGUGUUCUUACGGUACCCGACGAAUAAGCGCCGGCUAACUACGUG
rnacentral:rRNA from 1 species